UCAGACUUCAAUGAGAAGAGUCCAUUAUAACUUGUACCUUUUAGAUACCUGGGGAUCAUAUAAAUUCAUUAUAUCAUGUUUUCGCUAGGAAUUAUACCCUGCCAAACAACACUCGAGGCACUCGGUUUUGGGGACUCUGGCUCCCAACGAAUCAAGUAUUCUUCCAGAGGUCCAUAUUUAUGGUCACGAUUCUUCUUUUAUUUUUGUUUUCCUUUUCCUUUUCGGCUUGAUAAAAUUAAGAAUCCCUUAGGAUUGUUCCCAUCUCAGCUCGACCUUUUUCUUCUGUAACUAAAUCAGCUAUGUCGAAGAGUUGAUGUCGAUACUUUGUUUCGCUGCUGAACUAUGAGUAUAUUUUUGCAUUUCCUUAGGGAUUGGUUGUAAGGAAGCUCAAAAUUCAUGUUUCGGUUAAAUUCAACGGUUUUUGUUAUAUCUAAGUUGCUUGAUUUUUAGUUAGAGAUAAGUUGAUUCCUUAGCCGUUGGAUAUGAUUUGUACUUUGUUGGGGGAAUGAUUCCGGGUAGUGUCAUGACGACACAUACUGGCCGGGUUAGCGAGAGCAAAGCCGACGUAAGCAAGUACGCCGGUAUUGUUAAUCCAACUUUCUAAUAGGCCGGCAUACCAAAAGUAUGCCGGCAUCCCUAUCUUGUCUUAUGUGAUUGCAGGACAAGCACGAAUUACCUAAUCUCGGUUGGAGCCGG
rnacentral:lncRNA from 1 species